GUGAGGAAUUUUCCGCAAUGGGCGAAAGCCUGACGGAGCAAUGCCGCGUGAAGGAUGAAGGCCUAUGGGUUGUAAACUUCUUUUCUCAGAAAAGAAUUAUGACGGUAUCUGAGGAAUAAGCAUCGGCUAACUCUGUGCCAGCAGCCGCGGUAAGACAGAGGAUGCAAGCGUUAUCCGGAAUGAUUGGGCGUAAAGCGUCUGUAGGUUGUUUAAAAAGUAUUCUGUCAAAGAUUAGGGCUUAACCCUAGAUAGGCAGAAUAAACUUUUAAGCUAGAGUGUGGUAGAGGCAGAGGGAAUUGCCGGUGGAGCGGUGAAAUGCGUAGAUAUCGGGAGGAACACCAAAGGCGAAGGCACUCUGCUGGGCCAAUACUAACACUGAGAGACGAAAGCGAGGGGAGCAAAUGGGAUUAGAUACCCUUGUAGUCC
rnacentral:rRNA from 1 species